CAGUAGCCGCGGUAAUACGUAGGUGGCAAGCGUUGUCCGGAUUUAUUGGGCGUAAAGCGAGCGCAGGCGGUUCCUUAAGUCUGAUGUGAAAGCCCCCGGCUCAACCGGGGAGGGUCAUUGGAAACUGGGGAACUUGAGUGCAGAAGAGGAGAGUGGAAUUCCAUGUGUAGCGGUGAAAUGCGUAGAUAUAUGGAGGAACACCAGUGGCGAGGGCGACUCUCUGGUCUGUAACUGACGCUGAGGCUCGAAAGCGUGGGUAGCGAACAGGAUUAGAUACCCCUGUAGUCCCUGUCUCUUAUAC
rnacentral:rRNA from 1 species